AUAUCCUUAUCAGCCUUUUAGCUAAGAUAAGGUGUAACAUUUGUUCUUAUCAAUUUAAUAUUUGAUAGGUGCACCAUACAUUAUAUUAAAUUUAUUUUUUACGCAUAUCAGAUAUGACUGUGUGCAGUCUGAACACACGAUCAUUGUACUAGUUACUACUUUAGGACUCUGAUCAAGUGAU
rnacentral:snRNA from 1 species